UGGGGAAUUUUGCGCAAUGGGGGAAACCCUGACGCAGCAACGCCGCGUGGAGGAUGAAAUCCCUUGGGAUGUAAACUCCUUUCGAUAGGGAAGAUAAUGACGGUACCUAUAGAAGAAGCCCCGGCUAACUUCGUGCCAGCAGCCGCGGUAAUACGAGGGGGGCAAGCGUUGUUCGGAAUUAUUGGGCGUAAAGGGUGCGUAGGCGGUUUGACAAGUCUGAUGUGAAAUCUAUGGGCUCAACCCAUAGUCUGCAUCGGAAACUGUCGGGCUUGAGUAUGGGAGAGGUGAGUGGAAUUUCCGGUGUAGCGGUGAAAUGCGUAGAUAUCGGAAGGAACACCUGUGGCGAAAGCGGCUCACUGGACCAUUACUGACGCUGAGGCACGAAAGCUAGGGGAGCAAACAGGAUUAGAUACCCUGGUAGUCCUAGCCCUAAACGAUGAUUGCUUGAUGUGGCAGGUACCCAAUCCUGCCGUGUCGAAGCUAACGCGAUAAGCAAUCCGCCUGGGGAGUACGGUCGCAAGGCUG
rnacentral:rRNA from 1 species